rnacentral:rRNA from 1 species
UACGUAGGGUGCAAGCGUUGUCCGGAAUUAUUGGGCGUAAAGAGCUCGUAGGCGGUCUGUCGCGUCGGCUGUGAAAACUCGGGGCUCAACCCCGAGCCUGCAGUCGAUACGGGCAGACUAGAGUGCGGUAGGGGAGACUGGAAUUCCUGGUGUAGCGGUGAAAUGCGCAGAUAUCAGGAGGAACACCGGUGGCGAAGGCGGGUCUCUGGGCCAUUACUGACGCUGAGGAGCGAAAGCGUGGGGAGCGAACAGG